rnacentral:rRNA from 1 species
AUUGAACGCUGGCGGCAGGCCUAACACAUGCAAGUCGAACGAGUGGCGGACGGGUGAGUAAUGUCUGGGAAACUACCUGAUGGAGGGGGAUAACUACUGGAAACGGUAGCUAAUACCGCAUACCAUCAGAUGUGCCCAUGUGUGAUUAGCUGGUUGGGGGGGUAAAGGCUCACCAAGGCGACGAUCCCUAGCUGGUCUGAGAGGAGGACGAGCCACACUGGGACGGAUACACGGUCCAGACUCCUACGGGAGGCAGCAGUGGGGAAUAUUGGACAAUGGGCGCAAGCCUGAUCCAGCCAUGCCGCGUGUAUGAAGAAGGCCUUCGGGUUGGAAAGUACUUUAGUCGGGGAGGCGGUACCCGCAGAAGAAGCACCGGCUAACUCCGUGCCAGCAGCCGCGGUAAUAC